rnacentral:rRNA from 1 species
UACAGAGGGGGCAAGCGUUAUUCGGAAUUAUUGGGCGUAAAGGGCGCGUAGGCGGCUUUGCAAGUGGCGGGUGAAAUCCCUCGGCUUAACCGGGGAACUGCGUCUGAUACUGGAUGGCUUGAGUUUGGGAGAGGGAUGCGGAAUUCCAGGUGUAGCGGUGAAAUGCGUAGAUAUCUGGAGGAACACCGGUGGCGAAGGCGGCAUCCUGGACCAACACUGACGCUGAGGAGCGAAAGCCAGGGGAGCAAACGGG